UACGUAGGGUGCGAGCGUUGUCCGGAAUUAUUGGGCGUAAAGAGCUUGUAGGCGGUUUGUCGCGUCUGCCGUGAAAUUUCGAGGCUCAACCUCGAACUUGCGGUGGGUACGGGCAGACUAGAGUGUGGUAGGGGAGACUGGAAUUCCUGGUGUAGCGGUGAAAUGCGCAGAUAUCAGGAGGAACACCGAUGGCGAAGGCGGGUCUCUGGGCCGAUACUGACGCUGAGGAGCGAAAGCGUCGGGAGCGAACAGG
rnacentral:rRNA from 1 species